CCCAGAGUCUGAGGAGUAUGAAGAAACAGGGCAGCCCCAGGGAAGACGAGGGGGGCCCAUGAAACAAAGCAAGUCGGCAUGACCAAGUUGAAACGUCGCUUCAUUUUCCAAGCUUGCAGCAAAUAUCCGUUACUAUCGCCAAAGGAGGAGAAGCUAAAUGCAAGUUUGGGAGGUUAUAAGGAAGGUAAUUUUCUUAUCUGAUUCUUCUCUCAAGAAGAUAAUUCUGGUAAUAUGGAGCUUGAAUGCAAAGUAGAGACGGGGUUUCACCGUAUUAGCCAGGAAGGGCUCCAUCUCCUAACCUCGUGAUCCACCCGCCUGAGCCUCCUAAAGUGCUGGGAUUACAGGCCUGAGCCACCGCGCCUGGCCGAAGAGGGGAAAUUAUUCUAGACCACAGGAACAGCACAUGAGAAGGCAAAUCUCCUGUGUCAAAGGCACGAACAAGGUCUUGAUGGAUGGGUACGAAGAUAAAAGUAUUCGAUCGGCAAUAGACAAGAAACUCCCUUCCAAGGAUGAGGCCUCUUCCACAUUCGGCUUUCGUCUGAUUUAACAGCUCAAUUUCUUCAUCCUGCCACCUCCCUCAUGGUUUUUAUGAGACCUGGGAACUAUUAAAG
rnacentral:lncRNA from 1 species